rnacentral:rRNA from 1 species
UACGUAGGUGGCAAGCGUUGUCCGGAUUUACUGGGCGUAAAGAGCGCGCAGGCGGCCAAGUCAGUCGAAUGUGAAAGCCCCCGGCUCAACUGGGGAGGGUCAUUCGAUACUGCUCGGCUCGAAGACAGGAGAGGGAAGUGGAAUUCCCGGUGUAGUGGUGAAAUGCGUAGAUAUCGGGAGGAACACCAGUGGCGAAGGCGACUUUCUGGCCUGUUCUUGACGCUGAGGCGCGAAAGCUAGGGGAGCGAACAGG